UAAUAUAUAUAUAUAUAUAUGUACUUAUAUGUACUUGUAUUUAUAGUAUAGUGUAGAUAUAUGUGGAGAUAUGUAGAGAUAUAUGAUGAAACUCAGCUAUGCUUAUCUAUAGCAUAAAUGGGGACUCGAACUUCGGACUCGCACAUACAGUGAUUUCAGACUCAAACAGACUUUAGGCACUCAAUAAAUUUUAGACAACUCGCGAUUUGAGACUUGUGAACUAUUUUUUAUUUUUAAUUAGGCCCAAGCAGGUAGGCCUGCAAGGGCCUAUUGUAAUUGCUCCGUUUAUUCAUUUAUUGUUCAGGCGACAAAUGAAUUGCCUUUUUUGCGGCUUUAACAUAUUCAAAAACUCACCAAACUACCCAAAAUUGUCUCCCUAGUGAAAUUUAAGGUUUUUAAUGGAAUUGAAAAUGGGCGUUGCCAAACGGCUCUACAGCGCCCCCUAAAGUGAGAUAGGCCAAAUGGUAAGUCCUAGAGAGUUCAAAUUUGGUUAGAUCUCCCCAAAUCAUGAAAAAAAAGUCUCUGGGGGUAUGCCGUAAAACCAACAGGAAGUCGGCCAUUUUGGGUCAAAGGGUAAUUUUUGGACAUUUUUCACUUUUCAUACAUGUCGAACUUUAACAAACUCCUCCUAGGGAUUUUGAGCUACCGGCUUCAUAUUUGGUCAGUAUGUAGUUAAGGCAUUGGGGAUUAAAAGUUAUCAAAAUUGUGAGUUUUUGAGCAUGUUGCAGGGACGAGACCAGGCCUCAAAUUUAGCCUUCUCGCCG